GGCCCGUUAGUCAAGCGGUCGAAGACGCGUGACUUUCUCUCACGUAUACGCAGGUUCGAAUCCUGUACGGGUCG
rnacentral:tRNA from 1 species